rnacentral:rRNA from 1 species
GGGCNAAGCCUGAUGCAGCGACGCCGCGUGGGGGAUGAAGCUUUUCGGAGUGUAAACCCCUUUCGACCCGGACGAAUGCCCCGCAAGGGGACUGACGGUACGGGUAUAAGAAGCCCCGGCUAACUACGUGCCAGCAGCCGCGGUAAGACGUGGGGGGCCAGCGUUGCUCGGAAUUACUGGGUGUAAAGGGUUCGUAGGCGGUGUGGCAAGUCGGGAGUGAAAUCUCUGGGCUUAACUCAGAGACUGCUUCCGAAACUGCUGUGCUUGAGUGUGGGAGAGGCGCGUGGAAUUGCAGGUGUAGCGGUGAAAUGCGUAGAUAUCUGCAGGAACACCCGUGGCGAAAGCGGCGCGCUGGACCACUACUGACGCUGAGGAACGAAAGCUAGGGGAGCAAACAGGAUUAGAUACCCUGGUAGUCCUAGCCCUAAACGAUCAGGACUUGGGGUGCCGCACGUUCGUGCGUCGUCCCGGAGCUAACGCGUUAAGUCCUGCACCUGGGGAGUACGGUCGCAAGACUGAAACUCAAAAGAAUUGACGGA